GUGCUCACUUCAGCAGUACCUAUAUUAAAGUUGAAAUGAUACAGGGAAGAUUAACAUGGCCCAUGUGCAAGGAUGACAUGCAAAUACAUGAAGCAUUCCAUAUUUUA
rnacentral:snRNA from 1 species